GGUUUUAGUCGGUAGGUCCGAGGACUCCUUCCUCGGGAAUCCGACACUACCCAGUCGUACGGACGGCUGGGUAUCUUUUGAAGAUUUCCCCUCUUCCACGAAA
rfam:Agrilus planipennis Contig67927, whole genome shotgun sequence.